AACGAACGCUGGCGGCGUGCCUAACACAUGCAAGUCGUGGGAGAAAGUGACCUUCGGGUCGCGAGUAAACCGGCGCACGGGUGAGUAACACGUAGGUAACGUACCAUCGAACCUGGGAUAACCAGUCGAAAGAUUGGCUAAUACCGGAUACGACCGCGAGGACUUCGGCCCUUUCGGUGAAAGGCGGCCUCUGCUUGCAAGCUGUCAUUCGAUGCGCGGCCUGCGCACCAUUAGCAGUUUGGUGAGGUAACGGCUCACCAAGGCUGAGAUGGUUAGCUGGUCUGAGAGGAUGGCCAGCCACACUGGGACUGAGACACGGCCCAGACUCCUACGGGAGGCAAGCAGUGGGGAAUAUUGCGCAAUGGGCGAAAGCCUGACGCAGCGACGGCCGCGU
rnacentral:rRNA from 1 species